rnacentral:RNase_P_RNA from 3 species
GGAGAAAGACGGAUUAUCGCUGGUAUCUUCGGAUGCGGGAGGAAAGUCCGGACACCAUACAGCAGCGUAGCGGGUAACGCCCGUCCAUCGUGAGAUGAGGACAAGUGCAACAGAAAGGAUGUAUAGGCGCUUAGGCGUGCUAUAGUGAAAUCAGGUAAACUCUACGUGGUGCAAAUCCAAAUAGGCUUGCGCUUAGGGCAGCUGGUCCAAGCAAGCGGGUAGGAUGCUUGAGGGUCUAAGCAAUUUGACCCCUAGAUGAAUGAUAGUCCUUUGACAGAAUCCGGCUUAAAGUCUUUCUCCCUUU